rnacentral:misc_RNA from 1 species
CACUUGCGUUAGCGAUUGUAAUGGUUAGCUCUUGCCGAGGCAAGCAUCGAGGCAAAACUAUAAAUGUAAAGCGCGACCCUUG